GCCAAUACGUCCUCCCCGCAGCGCCCUCGGCCUGCCUCCCGCUUUGGAGCAGCUCUCGAGCCUCACCUGCACCCAUCACCCAGCGUCCUACUGCCACCUCUUGCUCUAGCUGUCAUGCAUGCGUCUUCCAUGCUUUCCCCGAGUCCUGAUGUCAAGAGAGACCCCAGAUCCCUACAGAACUGGCCUAGAAAGGGUAGGAGAUUGGAUGCUGCCUUCACUCAACACGGAAGAACUUCAGUCCUUUCAAGGCCACCCUCUCGCACCAGCUUUGCCAGCAGGAACUCCCAAACGACCAGCACCUUCUGCCCCCACACCAUGCACACAGUCAGUGUUUUCCCAGGUAUUUGGAGGAAGCCACAGACACAGCCUUGGCUGUAACAGGAACCUAAGUCGUUUACAAUACUUUCCAACAUCUAUGAUUUUUUUUUUCUGUUGUUGUUCUAUUUUUGACUCCAGAAUAAUCCCAGCACCUGUUCUGUCUGUUGAAAUAAAGCAUCCAUCUUGCUCCA
rnacentral:lncRNA from 1 species